rnacentral:lncRNA from 1 species
GUGGAACUUUUAACUUGAGACAGAUGAUUUAGAGUAUCUGGCAGGAGAAAUUUCUAAGCAGCGACAUGUCCAAGAGGAAACUGCGCAUAAAAGUUUGAAAAAUUUGCAGCCUGACUAUACAAAAGAAAAAAAAAACAUUUUCUGGGAAGAAAUUCAUGCCGACUGCAGAAAUUUGCAUAAGUAGCUUUUGAUUUUACAGGCUUAUAGGUGGAAGGGACUUGCCUUGUCUCAGAUGAAACUUUGGACUUGAACUUUUGGGUUAACGCUGGAAUUAGUGAAGAUUUUGGGGGACUAUUGGAAAGGCAUGAUUGCAUUUUGAAAUGUGAGGACAUAAGAUUUGGGAGGGGCCAAGUGUGGAAUGAUAUGGUUUGGUUGUGUUCCCACCCAAAAUCUCAUCUUGAAUUGUAAUCCCCAUAAUACCCAAGUGUCAAGAGUGCCUUAUGAAUGUCCUGGCUAACUUUUCAAACUGCAUUUCAGGGAGGGGCAAUGCAAACAGAGCCCAGUGGUCUCAUUGAGUUGAAUAGACAAUAUCAAAGUUUAGGGAAAACAACACGACUAAAAUUUGUGAGGCAAAUUAUCAGAGAAGAGGGAGAUGUACAGAGAGAUAUACAGAGAGCUUCAGAGGGGUCCCAUUGAGUCUUUAGAUGAAUAUAGAUCUAUAUAUGCAUGGGGUAAAAUUCCACAAGGUCAGAAAGAAUCACUGGAAAGCAAUAGGCUAAACAAUCUCAGGAGCCCACAGAGAGAGGGGAAUAGCUUAUGUUCCCACCAUCCAGAAUGGCAACACCUCAUAA